UUAGUGUAGCUGGAUAGGUCUGAGCAAUUCAAGGAAAACUGAGCUUGCUUCGUGAUACAGGCCUCAGCUUAGCCAACACU